rnacentral:rRNA from 1 species
CGCUGGCGGCAGGCUUAACACAUGCAAGUCGAGCGGGGGAAGGUAGCUUGCUACUGGACCUAGCGGCGGACGGGUGAGUAAUGCUUAGGAAUCUGCCUAUUAGUGGGGGACAACAUCUCGAAAGGGAUGCUAAUACCGCAUACGUCCUACGGGAGAAAGCAGGGGAUCUUCGGACCUUGCGCUAAUAGAUGAGCCUAAGUCGGAUUAGCUAGUUGGUGGGGUAAAGGCCUACCAAGGCGACGAUCUGUAGCGGGUCUGAGAGGAUGAUCCGCCACACUGGGACUGAGACACGGCCCAGACUCCUACGGGAGGCAGCAGUGGGGAAUAUUGGACAAUGGGGGGAACCCUGAUCCAGCCAUGCCGCGUGUGUGAAGAAGGCCUUAUGGUUGUAAAGCACUUUAAGCGAGGAGGAGGCUACUUUAGUUAAUACCUAGAGAUAGUGGACGUUACUCGCAGAAUAAGCACCGGCUAACUCUGUGCCAGCAGCCGCGGUAAUACAGAGGGUGCGAGCGUUAAUCGGAUUUACUGGGCGUAAAGCGUGCGUAGGCGGCUUAUUAAGUCGGAUGUGAAAUCCCCGAGCUUAACUUGGGAAUUGCAUUCGAUACUGGUGAGCUAGAGUAUGGGAGAGGAUGGUAGAAUUCCAGGUGUAGCGGUGAAAUGCGUAGAGAUCUGGAGGAAUACCGAUGGCGAAGGCAGCCAUCUGGCCUAAUACUGACGCUGAGGUACGAAAGCAUGGGGAGCAAACAGGAUUAGAUACCCUGGUAGUCCAUGCCGUAAACGAUGUCUACUAGCCGUUGGGGCCUUUGAGGCUUUAGUGGCGCAGCUAACGCGAUAAGUAGACCGCCUGGGG